CCCAACAACUACAACUGCAGCCCCAACUACAACUGCAGCCCCAACAACUACAACUACAGCUUCAACACAUACAGAAAAUCCAACCAUUUAUGGCCCAGAGUAUCUGUUGCAUCUAAAUAUGAGAUUAAGAUCAUUUGGCGAGGUCAGCAACGGAACCCUAAUUGAGCUCAUUAAACAGGUUUUCAGAGACCAGCUUCUCAAUGGAACAGGACACACGGUGACUGUGCGAAGCAUUCAAAGGUUUAGAGUUAACCCAUAGAACACCAAAUUCAUUAGAUUUUUACAGCAUUUACAGCAAAUGCUGACACUAUUGUUUAAGCUACAUUUUACACAAUAGGUCACAUUAAGUGUUACUUAUAUAUAUUAUAUCUAAAACUUAUCUGAAGUUUUUAUGCUUAUUUUACAUUUUCUAUGUAUUCCGAAAGGAGAGUCCAACAAACCCAAAUUCUCUCAGUGAUAUUUGGGCUGAAUAACUUUGUCCAGGUUGUCAGUUCCAGAAUAGUUGAUACCUUUAAGUUGACACAGUUCUAUCUGAGUAUCUGAACCUUGUAUCCAUCAUCAAUUAUCGGCCCAAAAACAUGACAACUGCUGGAAGAAAUAAAGUUAUAAUGAUGAAGCUGGAAAGGUCUGGAGGUCCAAAUCCAGUACGACUGCGUUGAGGAGCCUCUCAUGGGGUGCCUGCUCAGCCACUAACCUGAUAUGUUCACACAUUCUCCUGAGGCAGGUUUCCAAGCUGUCGGUACAUUCUGUCACUUCUUGAAGCUCAACAAAAUUACAAAAAUAAGCUUUUAUUCUUGGUCUGAGGUCACAGGGAAAUGUGUCAUAAUUUAGUCAAAUUAUACUAAAUAUAACAUUCUUAGCUUUGAAUUAAGGUUUCAGAAAGUUUUCUUAUCAAUCAUCCGGCUGUUGCCAUUUUUACAUCAUAUUAAAGAUCUAUGUCAAAAAAGAGAUUGUGUAGAUUGAAUGUCUGACCAUCAUUCAGCAGUAGGUGUCUCACAAUUUCAGUGUAUAAUUCCAAGUAUAACAAAUGUUGAUUAAGACCUCUAUAUAUUUUUUAUCCCAUACAGUGACUUGUAAAUAUGUUUUUUGCUAUUAUAUUAUUACAGAGUUUAAAAAGUUGUUUAGUCGGGUUUCUUCUCUGUUUUGACAAGAUCUUUUUUUUAAUUCAUUUUGCGGUAAAUCAUUUUGUAGUGCUGUUUUAACAGGAAAAGCACAAAGCUGCUUUUGUGGUGAAAGAUGGUAACUUUCCGUGAUAUUUAUUAUACUGUAAUAAUGCUUUGACCCACACAGAUGGGUUUUCAGAUUGCAACUUUUUCCACUUUGU